rnacentral:piRNA from 1 species
UCCAGAGGGGCUAGAAGUCUGUCAUG